GGGGGCGACACGGCUUCGACGGGUAAAAUGUUAGCCUAUAGUUGCAUGCCGAGGUUCUCUAGUAACCUCGUAAAUCAUCUAGGGAAACUGAUAAGUGCCGAUUACGGUUACACUGCUGCUGCUUAAUUGACAGUAGCUAUUUCUUAACUAGCGUGUUCACCGCCGGUUAAAGAAAUAUCAUUUAAGUGAACUAGUCUAAAAAAUGGCCUGCUAUUUUUAGAUAAAAAUCUGCUUUGGCAGAUAUGUAGGAUCGCCUAAAAAAGUUUGUUUGUUUAUCAAUUUUAGGUUAAAAACUAAAAAUAAACUAAGCAUGUAGAUACUAUUGGAAAACUUUACGCGGACGUGGGUUCGAUUCCCACCGCCUCCACAA
rnacentral:tmRNA from 1 species